UCUUGGAUUUAAAUUAAAUAUGAUAUUUUACCAGAGUACUAUGAAUAAAACAAAUUUAAAACUCAAAGAGCUUGGCGGUGUUUUAGACCACUCAGGGGAACCUGUCUCAUAAUCGAUAAUCCACGUUAAACCUAACCUUCUUUUGUUAUUUUCAGCCUGUAUACCGUUGUCGUCAGGUAACUUUUUAGAAAUUAGUAGUUAGCUAAAAGCUAGAUAUGCUAAAACGUCAAAUCAAGGUGCAGCCUAUAGGGAGGAGAGGAUGGGUUACAAUUAUUGAGUUAUAAUUACGAAAGACUUUUAAAAUUAAUGGUAAUGAAGGAGGACUUGAAAGUAAAUUAUAUUCUAUAUAAAUAUCUUGAAUAAGGCUCUGAAACGUGC
rnacentral:rRNA from 1 species